CCUUUCAUUGCCGUGUUCUUCCAUCUCUCUUUUUUCGGAAGCCUUUUUCCAACGCUUUUUCUUCAGAUCUUCGUUUUUCUUCGUUGUUUUUGACGAUCUCUUUUACAUAUUCGUGUAGAUCGUUUUUCGAUCUACGUUUUGCAUAUGGAUUUGAUGUGUUUUGAUGAAACGUUCGUCACCGAUCGUUGCGGUUAUCAGAGUUUAAGAUCUAGAUUCGCUGUUUCAGAAGGAUGAGAUCUGUUGAUAACUAGUCUUCGUGGAGGAAGAUUACAGUGGAUCGGCAGGAAGAUAACCUACUUGUGGUCUACAUCUGACGGCUGUAAUCAAGGACGGUUAUAUUCAUCGGAUCAUCUUCUGAUCCAGCUUUGGAGAUGCGAAACUGAAGGAGAAAUGAACAGGAGAAUAUCAGGUUUUGAUCGAUCGGAAUUGAUAGCUGUUUUGAUAUCUAUUUGGAUGUGAUGCUGUACCUAUUAGUCGAAAGUUGAGACGAAAGAUAUAGGUGAGAGGUUAAACAUGUAAGAUCUGGUGGUAUUGUGUGUGUUGAGUGUCGGCCUUUGCCAUGUCAGGUGCGCUUGCAUGGCAGGUCAAAAGUGUUAAUGAAAUGGUUGUUUUUUGGUUUUUGGAAGGAGAUGGUACGGGGUUGCUCGGCUCUCCUUCCAUGUGUGCCCGUGUCUCUCUCUAUCUCUCUCUUUACUUUCUCUUUUCUCUCUCUUUCUACUACACACCAUAGCCGAUCUAGUAUCUCAAAAAACGCAUGAAUAUCGUCAGUCAACGCAUGAUGUAUUAUUGUAUUGCAUCUUCCACACCGCAGCAACUGUUAACAGCGAUUGAUUGAUGCUUCUAAAUAAAUCAAACACCGCAGCACUCUGGAGAUCUUACCAUGGAUUAAGGGUUGUACAAGUGCUAGGGUUGAUAGUUGAUUCCUCAUGUACGCUAUGGCCGUGAAGAUUUGGGGUUUUACGUAUCCUGUGGAAGUUAGCUAGUUCGUUUAUUCCUAGUAAAUCAAGUGUUCAAUUACAUUCAUUUGUACAUGUGGAGAAUUUAAUGUUUAUUGCUUCUGGAGUUAUUUUGGUUAAGAAGCACUGCUUUUUGUGCCUUCCUAGUUUCUAUGUUGAUAUUUUGCAGGCAAUUUGUAACAUAAUUUGUCUAGGUUUAUUAUUAUUGCUGGAGCUGUGUUAAAUAAAUUGUGGUGCGUAUUGAGGUUAGUGGUUGCAAUUUGUUGUAGUUUCCCUUGGUGGAUUCCACGGGAUUUGUUGGUUUAUUACUUUCUGUCAUUGUGGUUUUGCAUAUCAGACCAUGGGGUAUGGUGGGGCUUGGGUUGGGGCAUUGGUUGACACGUGGAAUGGGAGUCCCCACCACUCAAACCCACGCCCAUGGGGUAUGGUGGGGCUUGGGUUGGGGGGCAUGAGUUUGGUUUGGUCAUUGAGAGCCUGCCAUGUCACGUACUAGCCCGCACUACGCCUGUCUUCAAACCCACGCCAAUGGGGCCACGCCCAAAACCUACGCCCAACCCAAGCCCCCGGGUGGUGACUUGGGCGUUUUAUCAAGUAUGUCAAGUGUAAGAUUGAAGUAAUAAGCUUAUUGGGGGUCAUUAAGUUCUUUCAUUGUUGUG
rnacentral:lncRNA from 1 species